rnacentral:misc_RNA from 1 species
GGAGGGAUCAUUAACAAAUCAAACACACAUACCUGUGUCAAUGUCUGUGCCAAGUGGGGGGUGGCGCAUGGUGCGCGUGGUAUCAUCGCAUCGCUACUGGGGAAAUGGGGAAGGACCUGGUAGUGUGUGUGUGUGUGUGGUACAACGUGUGACCGGGCGCUGCCUGAUGGGGAGUGGUGCCUAUAUGUAUGUAUGGGUACGCCUGCCGGCCAACAACUACAAACCAUGUCAGAGUUAUACACAUAUAAUGUAAUAACAACUUUUAACAAUGGAUCUCUUGGCUCUUGCAACGAUGAAGAACGCAGCAAAAUGCGAUAUGUCGUGUGAUCUGCAGGCUUCGUGAAUCAUUAAAUCUUUGAACGCAACUUGCACCAUGUGUCUACGCACAUGGUAUACUUGUUUGAGUAUCACAUUCAUCUAUCACACUGGGUAUGUGUGGACUUGAGGCGUGUGUGUGCUUGCCCAUUAGCAAUAAUGGGUAACAACACUCCCUUUAAAUGUAGGUCUGUCGGGACAUGUCACGUCUGUGCAUGCCACUAUCGGGAUAACAUCCAUCGAUGGGGUACGCAUGGCCAUAUGUGUGUGUCUCAUGGACAAGGACGUCGAGGGUAUUGCCUGUAUGUGUGGACAUCACGUCGCUAUACAGGGGAUACCACUGACAUGUGUCUUGUGUCGUCGUUGCUGGUAGUGUGUUUACACUUCCGGCGUAUAUACGAUGCGCAGGGUACCUACAUGGAUCUCAAAUCAAGUAAGAAUACCCGCUGAACUUAAGCAUAUCAGUAAGCGGAGGAAAAGAAACUAACAAGGAUUCCCGUAGUAACGGCGAGUGAACGGGGAAGAGCUCAAAUUUAAAAUCUGGUACCUUCGGUGCCCGAAUUGUAUUUGAUAGAUGUGUGAUGUGGGACAGACGCGUGGCUCAAGUCCUCUGGAAAGGGGCGCCUAAGAGGGUGAUAGCCCCGUGGAGGCUACGCGUAUACACUGGACCAAUAUCUUCACACGUCGACGAGUCGGAUUGUUUGGGAAUGCAGUCCAAAAUGGGUGGUACGAGCCAUCUAAAGCUAAAUAACGGCAAGAGACCGAUAGCGAACAAGUACCGUGAGGGAAAGAUGAAAAGCACUUUGAAAAGAGAGUUAAAUAGUACGUGAAAUUGUUAAAAGGGAAACGAUUGAGACCAGUGGGGCGCUGUGCCUGUUCAGCGUGUCUUACCUGUAACAGGGUGGACGCGUGUAGUCAGGUGCAGGGCGUGUUGGCCCCCCUUCGGGCUCCUGGAAAAGACCUGUGGAAAGGUGGCCUGCCUCGGCAGCGCUUUAUAGUCCAUGGGGGAUACAGGUGGCCUGGAGGGGUCGUGUGGACCUGUGUCCACUGGCUGACAAAAUGGUCUUAAACGACCCGUCUUGAAACACGGACCAAGGAGUCUAACAACUAUGCGAGUAUUCGAGUGGCAAACUUGGAUGCGAAAAGAAAUUGAGUAUGUGUGGGACUGGUGACUCGUUCACCACGCACCAUGGGCCGGUCCUUGACUUGUCUUGGAUCGCGCUAGAGCAUACGUGUUGGGACCCGAAAGAUGGUGAACUAUGCCUGAAUAGGGUGAAGCCAGAGGAAACUCUGGUGGAGGCUCGUAGAGAUUCUAACGUGCAAAUUGAUCUUCAAAUUUGGGUAUAGGGGCGAAAGACUAAUCGAACCAUCUAGUAGCUGGUUCCCUC